GACAGAGGCCUCAAGCGUUAGGCGGAAUCACUGGGCUUAAAGCGUGUGUAGGUGGAUGCCUAAGUACCUUGUGAAAUCCCACGGCUUAACCGUGGAACUGCUGGGUAUACUGGGCGUCUUGAGCCACUCAGGGGCUACCGGAACAAGCGGUGGAGCGGUGAAAUGCGUAGAUAUCGCUUGGAACGCCAAUGGUGAAAACAGGUAGCUGGGGGUGUGCUGACACUGAGACACGAAAGCCAGGGGAGCAAGCGGG
rnacentral:rRNA from 1 species